rnacentral:rRNA from 1 species
GACGAACGCUGGCGGCGUGCCUAAUACAUGCAAGUUGAGCGAUGAAGAUUGGUGCUUGCACCAAUUUGAAGAGCAGCGAACGGGUGAGUAACGCGUGGGGAAUCUGCCUUUGAGCGGGGGACAACAUUUGGAAACGAAUGCUAAUACCGCAUAACAACUUUAACCAUAAGUUUUAAGUUUGAAAGAUGCAAUUGCAUCACUCAAAGAUGAUCCCGCGUUGUAUUAGCUAGUUGGUGAGGUAAAGGCUCACCAAGGCGAUGAUACAUAGCCGACCUGAGAGGGUGAUCGGCCACAUUGGGACUGAGACACGGCCCAAACGCCUACGGGAGGCAGCAGUAGGGAAUCUUCGGCAAUGGACGAAAGUCUGACCGAGCAACGCCGCGUGAGUGAAGAAGGUUUUCGGAUCGUAAAACUCUGUUGGUAGAGAAGAACGUUGGUGAGAGUGGAAAGCUCAUCAAGUGACGGUAACUACCCAGAAAGGGACGGCUAACUACGUG